rnacentral:rRNA from 1 species
AUCAUUAACGAGUUAGGGUCCCUCGUGGCCCGACCUCCCAACCCUUUGUCUACCUGACCACUGUUGCUUCGGCGAGCCCGUCUGUAAUGGACCGCCGGGGGGUACCUUGAUCGGCCCUCUGGUCCGCGCUCGUCGAUAGCCAAACUUUUAAAAUCUUAACCAAACGUGUCUCAAUCUAAGUAUUAUUUGUUAAAUAAAAGCAAAACUUUCAACAACGGAUCUCUUGGUUCUGGCAUCGAUGAAGAACGCAGCGAAAUGCGAUAAGUAAUGCGAAUUGCAGAAUUUCAGUGAGUCAUCGAAUCUUUGAACGCACAUUGCGCCCUUUGGUAUUCCGAAGGGCAUGCCUGUUCGAGCGUCAUUAUCACCCCUCAAGCCCCCGGCUUGGUGUUGGACGGUUUGGUGGAGGCCCCCUCGCGGGGCCACCGCCCCUCCCAAAGACAAUGACGGCGGCCUCGUUGGACCCCCGGUACACUGAGUUCUUCACGGGACACGUAUCGGACACAUGGGUUUACGGGACACGGUCUGCCUCCCCUCAGGGAGAAUCUUUCUAAGGUUGACCUCGG